rnacentral:tRNA from 1 species
GGGCCCGUAGCUCAGCCAGGAUAGAGCACCGGCCUCCGGAGCCGGAGGUCCCGGGUUCAAAUCCCGGCGGGCCCG